rnacentral:rRNA from 1 species
UGUGUAGGCGGUUCUUUAAGUUUGCUGUGAAAUCUCCCGGCUUAACCGGGAGGGUGCGGUGAAUACUGAGGGACUAGAGUACGGGAGAGGAAAGUGGAAUUCCUGGUGUAGCGGUGAAAUGCGUAGAUAUCAGGAGGAACACCGGUGGUGUAGACGGCUUUCUGGACCGUAACUGACGCUGAGACACGAAAGCGUGGGUAGCAAACA